AUUGAACGCUGGCGGCAUGCCUUACACAUGCAAGUCGAACGGCAGCACGGGGGCAACCCUGGUGGCGAGUGGCGAACGGGUGAGUACUGCAUCGGAACGUGCCUAUUAGUGGGGGAUAACGCUUCGAAAGGAGUGCUAAUACCGCAUAAUCUCUGAGGAGGAAAGCAGGGGACCUUCGGGCCUUGCGCUGAUAGAGCGGCCGAUGUCGGAUUAGCUAGUUGGUGAGGUAAAGGCUCACCAAGGCGACGAUCCGUAGCGGGUCUGAGAGGAUGAUCCGCCACACUGGGACUGAGACACGGCCCAGACUCCUACGGGAGGCAGCAGUGGGGAAUUUUGGACAAUGGGCGCAAGCCUGAUCCAGCCAUGCCGCGUGAGUGAAGAAGGCCUUCGGGUUGUAAAGCUCUUUUGUCCGGGAGCAAGUCCUACUGGCUAAUAUCUGGUGGGGAUGAGAGUACUGGAAGAAUAAGCACCGGCUAACUACGUG
rnacentral:rRNA from 1 species